rnacentral:rRNA from 1 species
UCCUACGGGAGGCAGCAGUGGGGAAUAUUGCGCAAUGGAGGAAACUCUGACGCAGCGAUGCCGCGUGGGUGAAGAAGGCCUUAGGGUUGUAAAGCCCUUUCAGUGGGAACGAUGGUGACGGUACCCACAGAAGAAGCCCCGGCUAACUCCGUGCCAGCAGCCGCGGUAAUACGGAGGGGGCGAGCGUUGUUCGGAAUUAUUGGGCGUAAAGCGCGCGUAGGCGGUUUAUUAAGUCAGGAGUGAAAGCCCUGGGCUCAACCCAGGAACUGCUCUUGAAACUGGUAGACUGGAGUCCGGCAGAGGAUGGUGGAAUUCCCCGUGUAGAGGUGAAAUUCGUAGAUAUGGGGAGGAAGACCAGAGGCGAAGGCGGCCAUCUGGACCGGUACUGACGCUAAGGCGCGAGAGCGUGGGGAGCGAACAGGAUUAGAUACCCUGGUAGUCCACGCUGUAAACGAUGAGUGCUAGUUGUCGCGGGUAUCGACCCCUGCGGCAACGAAGUUAACACGUUAAGCACUCCGCCUGGGGAGUACGGCCGCAAGGCUAAAACUCAAAGGAAUUGACGGAC